UUUUGCAGUGUAUUCAAGUAUACCGUAUCAGAUUUGGAAAUAGAUUUAACACCUGCAAUGUGAGGAGUUUCAGGCCUAUUCUUGCGAGGACAAGAACGGUUGGAACUCAAGUAGAUCUUGGGAUUGUAUUCAAUAGGACUGCAGACUUGCCACCGAAUAGUGCUAUUGUUGAAACGUUAGUAGAUGCCGUGCAAAACAGUACCUUCAAUCUUACAAUGAAUGCCACUUCAAUCAGAGUAGCAGAUGGUCCAUUGCCUUCAACUGCUGCA